GAACUUCGUUUUGCAUUUGCAACCGUUGUAACGUUAUGUCUGGAUUUGGAUGAUUAUCUUUUCAACUCUCAAAGUCUUAGAAUGUUGUCACAAAACUAUCAAAGAUUCAAUUUCAAGCAAGGUUUGAUUCAAGAAAUCUGAUACGUUCUCUCCACUAUCAAGAAAAUAUUCCAUUCGAAGUUUGACGUGCACGCGGGAACAUUUCUCUUUCUUUUCACAACUUUACGAGAACAAGAAAACAAUAGAAUCAGAAACAAUAACCCUGGAUGUGUAUAAUUAAGGAGCUUUUAUCGUUGAUUAUAUAUUCCUUGGUAUAAUUUGCCGGCUCAUGAUAAUUGUCGGUUCCUGAAAACAGAUCAUGAGCAACGCGGCAGGGGUCCAGCUUUCGCAUUUAAAUGUGUAUUCGGGAUCUUGAAAAAAAAGUCCCCCCAAAGGUCCGAAAAUUUUUACAUGACCCCCAAAACUCAGUGUAACGUUAACAAUUCUGCAAUGUAGCAAAUACUGUAGCAGUCACCGUUACCGUGGCAACGUGUAACGGUUUACAUUUCACGGUUGAUCCCUCUCUGAGAAUUCAGCGGUGAAGAAAAGAAGUGGCAACAUUCCGUCUGGGAUCCGCUUCUAACACGUCUGUCUCCAGCUACUGGCGGAAGACAUCUGCUUUUGAGAGGUUCCUGCAUUUUUCACAAGGUCCAGUACUAGUGCCAUGAUGACAGCUGUUACUGUUAGGAGAGAGUCCAGGAUGCAAGCGGCGACGCUCGCUCUACUCCUUGUUCUGAGCUUGUGCAGCCAUCAAGCAC